rnacentral:misc_RNA from 1 species
AACGCAAAUUGCGCCCUUUGGUAUUCCGAAGGGCAUGCCUGUUUGAGUGUCUUAUAAACCUCACCCCUAGUGUUUUAUUACAAUAGGUUGGUGCUUUGGGUGUUGCCGUUUACUCUGGCUCGCCUUAAAUGACUAAGUGGAAUGCGUCAUAAGUUCUCGCAACCCUCCACUCUAACACACUUUAUAUUCUGACCUCAAAUCAGGUAGGACUACCCGCUGAACUUAA